UACGUAGGAUCCGAGCGUUAUCCGGAUUUAUUGGGUUUAAAGGGAGCGUAGGCGGGUUGUUAAGUCAGUUGUGAAAGUUUGCGGCUCAACCGUAAAAUUGCAGUUGAUACUGGCAUCCUUGGGUACAGUAGAGGUAGGCGGAAUUCGUGGUGUAGCGGUGAAAUGCUUAGAUAUCACGAAGAACUCCGAUUGCGAAGGCAGCCUGCUGGACUGUAACUGACGCUGAUGCUCGAAUGUGUGGGUAUCAAACAGG
rnacentral:rRNA from 1 species